AGUGGCGAACGGGAGAGUAACGCGUGGGAAACCUGCCCUUCAGCGGGGGACAACAGUUCUAACGAGCUGCUAAUACCGCAUACGAUCUAACUACCGCAUGGUGGUUUGAUGAAAGAUGGCCUCUACAUGUAAGCUGUCACUGGAGGAUGGUCCCGCGUCCCAUUAGCUUGUUGGUGGGGUAAAGGCCUACCAAGGCGACGAUGGGUAGCCGGCCUGAGAGGGUGUCCGGCCUCACUGGGACUGAGAUACGGCCCAGACUCCUACGGGAGGCAGCAGUCGAGAAGCUUCGGCAAUGGACGAAAGUCUGACCGAGCGACGCCGCGUGAGCGAUGAAGGCCUUCGGGUCGUAAAGCUCUGUCAGGAGGGAAUAAAUACCUAUGGUUAAUACCCAUGGGGGCUGAAGGUACCUCCAGAGGAAGCGCCGGCUAACUACGUGCCAGCAGCCGCGGUAAUACGUAGGGCGCAAACGUUGUUCGGAUUCACUGGGUAUAAAGGGUUCGUAGGCGGGCUAUUAAGUCAGAGGUGAAAGCCACCGGCUCAACCGGUGAAUUGCCUCUGAUACUGUUAGUCUUGAGUCCGUUAGGGGGUGGUGGAAUUCCUGGUGUAGCGGUGAAAUGCGUAAAUAUCAGGAGGAACACCAGUGGCGAAGGCGACCACCUGGGACGGUACUGACGCUGAGGAACGAAAGCAUGGGUAUCAAACGGGAUUAGAUACCCCGGUAGUCCAUGCUGUAAACGAUGGGCACUAGGUGUCGGAGGAGCUUACCCCUUCGGUGCCGCAGCUAACGCAUUAAGUGCCCCACCUGGGGAGUACGAUCGCAAG
rnacentral:rRNA from 1 species